ACAAGGAUCAGCCCUAGGCUGAAAUUUGUCCCUUUAUUGCUUGGGAACAGAAGCAAAACAAAGACACCCAAAGGUUUUAAGAUGGUUGUAAGAGGGGGUCUGUCCAAAAAGCAACUCAAAAGGGGAUACAUUGUUAAGUAGUUUGGAAGGGAAUCUGUUUAUGAGAUAGGUUGCAGUAAGCACACAAUCACCCCAGAAUCUAAGGGGGAGUUGGGAAUGAAAGAGUAAGGCUCUGGAUGUCUCCAGCAGAUAUCUGCUUUCAUUCAACCACACCAUUUUGUUAUGGUGUAAGAGUAAGGCUCUGGAUGUUUCCAGUAGAUAUCUAUGCUUUCGUUCAACCACAUCAUUUUGUUAUGGUGUAUGAGAGCAAGAGGUUUGGUGUAGGAUUCCAUUUUCAGCAAAGAAAUUGCAGCCAGAACUACUAGAUCCAAGUUCAAAGGCAUUGUCACUCCUAAUGGUUUGGAUAACAGUUUGGAAUUGGGUUUUGAUCAUGGCAAUAAAAGCCUUGAUAAGAGGAAAGGCAUUGCUCUUGGACCCCAUAAGGUGAUUCCAGGUAGAUCUAGUAAAGUCAUCAACUAUUGUUAGAAAAUAUUUACAACCAUUAUGAGUGGAAGUGGCAUAAGGACCCCAGGUAUCUACAUGAAUGAGUUGAAAAGCAUGUGUUGUCUUAACAGAACUGUCAUGAAAUGACAGUCUAGAUUGUCUAGCUAAUGGGCAUAUAGUACAUAUGAAAGGUUGUUUAUUUGCAAAUUUGCAUGGAAUAGACUAGAUUGUCUAGCUAAUGGGCAAAUAGUACAUAUGAAGGGUUGUUUAUUUGCAAAUUUGCAUGGAAUAGAAGGAAUGUCCUUCAUUCUGACAAAAGGUAUAUGUCCUAGUCUAUUAUGCCAUAAAAUCUCCAUUUUAAAUUCAGAAUGGUAUGUACAAUGAGAGGAAGAAACAGAAUCAACAGCUAAUGGAGAAUGGUAU
rnacentral:lncRNA from 1 species